GUUCGCGACUUAUUUAAGCCGCGGCUUAUUUAGGCCGCGACUUAUUCUCGCUCGUAUAAAUGGCCCUAAUGAUCUCAUACUGGUUGUUCACGGGUACAGUCGCUUAUCUUUUAUUCUCAUUUUAGAUUCGAAAGUUUGAUAGCACGAGAGUGGCUUGCUGCAGGACAUUCGUUCAGAGAACGUUGUAUUAAACUAGGAACGUCAAAUAUGAGAUACAAAGGACAAGCACCGACCUUCCUUAUGUUCCUUGAUGCUGUUUACCAGGUG